GUGGUGGAUGUAUUAUGAAGA
rnacentral:siRNA from 1 species